rnacentral:rRNA from 1 species
UACGUAGGGGGGCAAGCGUUGUCCGGAUUUAUUGGGCGUAAAGAGCGUGUAGGCGGUUUGGUAGGUCCGCUGUUGAAAACUCGAGCUCAACCUCGAGACGCCGGUGGAAACCAUCAGACUAGAGUCCGGAAGAGGAGAGUGGAAUUCCUGGUGUAGCGGUGAAAUGCGCAGAUAUCAGGAAGAACACCCGUGGCUAAGGCGGCUCUCUAGUACGGUACUGACGCUGAGACGGCGAAAAGCGUGGGGGAGCGAAACAGGAUUAAG